AUGCGGAAUGGCGGCGGUGGCGGCUGGAGCUUGCAGGGGUUGGGGAGGCUGAUUCGAAGGCGGACGGCGAGGCGGGGGAACGGUGAGGAAGGCCGGAGCGAGGGAUCCGGCGACCUAGGCAGGAGCUCGCCGGAGCCGGGCGCGCAAGGCAGAGGGAUCCGAUGCGGCGGUUCGAAGUUCUUGCAGGCAAAGGCAGACCUCCAUGGCUGGCAGGGGGGCUCCAAGGCCAUGGCGGGGCUUCGGUUUUCCCUGGUAUAG
rnacentral:rRNA from 1 species